GGAUCUGAGGCUUCCUCCUUCUCCUCCACCACCACCGGCACCUCCUCUCUCUCUCUCUCUCUCUCUCUCGAUCUAAGAGAUGUGGUGGUGGUUAGGGUUUCGACGAGGUGUCGGGGUUCAGCUCUCGUGCGUGUUGCAAAUGUGUUCUCUGGUUGUUACAGUAUGUUUUCAUAUGAUGUUGCAGCAGGUUAGGGUUUCGGUGAGCUCUCGGCUUGAGAUUUCGCAGUUUGUUGCAAUAGUUCUUUUUAGAUGUUGCAGUAGGUUUUAGUCAUUAUUGCAAUACUGCUUUUGAUUUGUUGUUUCAAUUACUUUAAUAUGCAUGUUGUUGUAGUUGUUGCGUAUAUGUUGCAAUUUUUGUUUGGGUGUUGUUGCAGUAGUAUGUUCAUUGUGUUUCAGCAACCGUAGCCAAAUGUUCCAGCUGUUUUUUCUUUGUUUGUUGUAAUAAUAUAUUCAAGAUAUUUUAACUUCAUCAUUCUAAUGUUGGAGCUGUCGUCCUUUUUUGAUGUUGUAUUUCUAUAUGUUUAUGAUGUUUUCAACUACUGCAAUCUAUUGUUGCAGUAGUUUAUCGGGCGUUAUUGCAAUAUCACGUUUAUGGUGUUUCAGUUACUUCACCUUAUUGUUGUAGCGGCAAAUGGAAGGGGAGGUUGCAAGUUGGAGGAUGAGCUGGCAAUGGGCAGAGGUGCUAGGGGGCCGAAGAGGUUUGGGUCGGGCUCCUUGCGUUCUUUGUGCGGGGCGAGUAGGGGUGGGUUCACAUCUCUACUUUUCUUUUUUAUUUUUUUGUAGGGGGGCGGGAGGAGAUGAGUACGGAGACCUGGCGUCCGCAUGUUAGCGCCCGGAUCGGACGUCCGGGCGCUAGCAGUUCCGAUGCAUCCCUAAAUAAUGUAAUGACUAGUAAAUCUAAAUAUUCUUUAGAAACCAUUAAUUUUAUAUAAAUUAUACAAUAAAUACAGAAAACAGAAAAAUAUUGCCGUGUUCCAAACAGAAUUUGUUUACGGUACAUUCUAGUAUUUCAAUUAAAAUUAGAAUUGCACACAACUAAUGUAGUACUAGUACUAGUAGAAGUUAAAAUAGUAUAAAAAUUAUAUUAGCAAAAUAGCGUAAGUAUUAUUUAAUUGGUGGAAGGGAAUGGGAGAGACUAGUGGCGGAUCUAGAAACAGGCUGCGGUUGGGCUAACUAAUAUAAGGCUAGAAAAAUAGCAGCCAAAUAGUUUUUUACAUGACAAAAAAUAGGUACAAAUUGUGGCUAGAAAAAUACCACUUGAAGAGCAUUUUACAUGACAAAAAAACCAUAUAUGUCUUGAACCAACAUCCUCG
rnacentral:lncRNA from 1 species